rnacentral:rRNA from 2 species
CCAAGGAGUCUAACCUGUACGCGAGUCGUGGGGCCUGGUCGCCAAGCCACACCACGGCGCAGUGAAAGCGAGAGGAGUGUGCCCACUCCGCAGCGGGCGUGAUCGCGGUGGAGUAACUCCCGCCGCGCGCAACGCCGACCCGUGCACGCCGCUUCGUCGGCGGCACGGAGUCCGAGCGUACACGUUGGGACCCGAAAGAUGGUGAUCUAUGCCAGGGCAGGGCGAAGCCAGAGGAAACUCUGGUGGAAGCCCGCCGCGAUUCUGACGUGCAAAUCGAUCGUCGGACCUUGGCAUAGGGGCGAAAGACUAAUCGAACCAUCUA